CAUUAGUGUAGCCUUCUGUUUAAAAUCUUUGCCACAAUAAUGACAUUUGAAUAGACGCAGAUCAGAGUCUUUUUUUCUUGUUGGUGAAUAAGGACAUGAAACUUGAUCGACUUAACAUGUGUGGAGGCCCAUCUCUCACACCAGAAUAGUAAUUGGAAGAGUCGGCCGGAUCAUAAUAGUCUGGUUGGGUUCGAUCAGAUUCAACAACACUGUCUUCUGGUGGUGUUUCAUCUUCUCCACCAUUUCCAGAACCUAUUCAAGAUAUUCAAAUAAAGUUAUACUUUUUAGGUGGAACAACUGCUUGUUCAGUUGGUUUAUGUUGAGAUGAUACAAGAGCUGGGUAACCGUUUUGUGAAGGCCCCGGACCCCAUUGGCCAUUACUGCUGUUUGUCCCUUGUUGAUGAUGGCCAUCUUUGUUGUUUAUAACAUAUGAAGUACCGUUCUCUGUAAAAUAAAAUACAUACAUUCAAAACCGGGUACCUAUGCUCGUUUCAAUGAGUAACAACAACAGUCAACAAUCAAGACAACGGUGGGCAUAUUUUGAAUUUUUGUUUAUGUAAAUAUCUGUUUUGUUAAUAAAUUAAAGAAUCUAAUG